rnacentral:rRNA from 1 species
UGGCGAACGGGUGAGUAACACGUGAGUAACCUGCCCUUGACUUUGGGAUAACUUCAGGAAACUGGGGCUAAUACCGGAUAGGAGCUCCUGCUGCAUGGUGGGGGUUGGAAAGUUUCGGCGGUUGGGGAUGGGCUCGCGGCUUAUCAGCUUGUUGGUGGGGUAGUGGCUUACCAAGGCUUUGACGGGUAGCCGGCCUGAGAGGGUGACCGGCCACAUUGGGACUGAGAUACGGCCCAG